CAAUUUUUAAUAACCCAUUUUGAACAUAGGCUAUGUCCUUUCUUCCGCUUUCGUGUUGCUGAUAAUAUAGCAAGAUGAGAGCAAAGUGGCGUAAGAAGCGUAUGAGGAGGUUGAAGCGUAAAAGGAGGAAGAUGCGUGCAAGGUCUAAGUAGACGUUGCCAUCGUUUAUUUUCAAAAUUCCAAUUGAUGUGUUCUGCUAUAGACCAAGGUAUUGCAACCAUGUGUUCAGUUGAGAACUCCUUUUGAUGAUGAAAACAAUGAUGAUGAUGAAUUAGCAUGGUCACGUGAUCAAAGUCUUAGUUUGACCAGGUACCAUGCUUUCGACUGAAAACAUGGCUGUUACAACAACAAUAUGUUGUCAUGGUGCACUAACACGACUUACAACAACAGCAACACAAAGCAACAACAACAAUUUGUCAUCGAGGGCUCAACUUUGGGAACUAUCUAUUUAAGAAGAAUGAGGAAGAAGAAGAAUUGGUGUCUACUGCGUGGAAGUCUCCAUGGUGACCAGGCUAGGCAUCUGUAUGGUAACCACUGUUGAGGCUUUGGUGGCUCCUCUAUGAGAACAUAUUUUGUAAUAUCUCGGACUUGGCAAUGAUCCAAUUUAUCCAAAGACAUGAAAUUGCAUGGAUUGAAUUGUUCAGUUGAGGUUUUGAAAAUAUUAAAAGAAAAAAAAUCAAAA